ACACGAACCGUACAAACGUUAUUCGGAAUCACUGGGCUUAAAGGGUGCGUAGGCGGCUUGGAAAGUUGGGUGUGAAAUCCCUCGGCUCAACCGAGGAAUUGCGCUCAAUACUGCCAGGCUAGAGGGAGACAGAGGUGAGCGGAACUUAGGGUGGAGCGGUGAAAUGCGUUGAUAUCCUAAGGAACACCAGUGGCGAAGGCGGCUCACUGGGUCUCUUCUGACGCUGAGGCACGAAAGCUGGGGGAGCGAACGGGAUUAGAAACCCCGGUAGUCC
rnacentral:rRNA from 1 species